AUUGAACGCUGGCGGCAGGCCUAACACAUGCAAGUCGAGCGGAAACGAGUUAUCUGAACCUUCGGGGAACGAUAACGGCGUCGAGCGGCGGACGGGUGAGUAAUGCCUAGGAAAUUGCCCUGAUGUGGGGGAUAACCAUUGGAAACGAUGGCUAAUACCGCAUGAUGCCUACGGGCCAAAGAGGGGGACCUUCGGGCCUCUCGCGUCAGGAUAUGCCUAGGUGGGAUUAGCUAGUUGGUGAGGUAAGGGCUCACCAAGGCGACGAUCCCUAGCUGGUCUGAGAGGAUGAUCAGCCACACUGGAACUGAGACACGGUCCAGACUCCUACGGGAGGCAGCAGUGGGGAAUAUUGCACAAUGGGCGCAAGCCUGAUGCAGCCAUGCCGCGUGUAUGAAGAAGGCCUUCGGGUUGUAAAGUACUUUCAGUCGUGAGGAAGGCGGCGUCGUUAAUAGCGGCGUUGUUUGACGUUAGCGACAGAAGAAGCACCGGCUAACUCCGUGCCAGCAGCCGCGGUAAUACGGAGGGUGCGAGCGUUAAUCGGAAUUACUGGGCGUAAAGCGCAUGCAGGUGGUUUGUUAAGUCAGAUGUGAAAGCCCGGGGCUCAACCUCGGAAUAGCAUUUGAAACUGGCAGACUAGAGUACUGUAGAGGGGGGUAGAAUUUCAGGUGUAGCGGUGAAAUGCGUAGAGAUCCGAAUGAAUACCGGUGGCGAAGGCUGGCCCCCUGGACUGAUACUGACACUCAGAUGCGAAAGCGUGGGGAGCAAACAGG
rnacentral:rRNA from 1 species